UUCAUCCACGGUCUUGGUUGUGUAGGGGGUGUUUUGGCAUUCUGCAUUCCGCAGCAGGUUUGCCUCCGGGUCACCUUUAUUGUGACUGUAGAAGACCUGAGGGCGGGAGCGCGCAAUCAUCACGGUCUUUGAUAUUUCUCAGGGACGGAGCAGCCCUGAGACUCUCUACUGCGGCGGCGAGCACGGCUUUCCUCUCACGCAAAGCCCUCAAUACUUAGUGUUGUUUUAUAUUUAUAUUUUCCAUUUCUUACCUCUGGUCGAAACGCUCCGCGUGAUUUAAACAUUAUUGUCCCAAUUAUGCGACCCAUACCAACUUUUGCCCUCAUCUUCUAUCAGUUGCUUGCUGCGUAACGCGAAUUGAUUCAUAAUCUGUUUGAACGACGGAUGACCAUCAUGUUAAUUGCUGUUGGAUUUAUACUGGUUCGCCGUGCUGUUGGAUUAUUCCGGAGACGCAGCACGUUCUAAAGUGUUUUUGUGGAGACGGAUCGAUAAUGGUUUUAGUUGGGCUGUAAUACUGCUCGGACUAAAGGUAAAAGUCUUCGUUGGAGUGGAUCCUGAGAGACUGAUUGUCUGGGCAGUAACCGCAGGGAUUAAACGCUAGUGAAAUCAAAAGCGCGCGGCUGAUAUGGGUUCUGUUAUUUGUGACAAGAGAUUAGCGGGCCUCCUGCUCCUUCAAGCCUCCUCCCUCCUGCUGUUCAGUUCUGGAGAAAGGUUGUGCCCCUAUAGCUGUCGUUGCGAGGGAAAGAUUGUCCAUUGUGAGUCAGCUAGCUUCAAGGAUGUCCCUGAAAAUAUUUCAGUUAGUUGUCAAGGUCUGUCCCUACGCUACAAUGACCUGCACACAAUGCUCCCUUACCAAUUUGCUUAUCUUAACCAGUUACUGUGGCUGUACCUGGACCACAAUCAAAUCAUGUUUGUGGAUAGUCGUGCUUUUCAAGGAGUGCGACGACUGAAGGAGUUGAUCUUGAGCUCCAAUAGGAUUUCACAGCUCCAUAAUGUCACUUUUCACGGAGUACCUAACCUACGCAAUCUAGAUCUCUCCUACAACAGGUUGCAGGAACUGCAGCCAGGCCAGUUCUUUGGUCUUCGAAAACUGCAGAAUCUGCACUUGCGCUCCAACGGACUGAUGACAAUCCCUGUCCGAGCAUUUCUAGAGUGCAGAAGCUUGGAGUUUCUAGACUUAGGUUAUAAUCGGCUUCGGGUUCUGACUCGUACGGCAUUCCUGGGUUUGUCUCGACUUAUGGAACUCCACCUGGAGCAUAAUCAGUUUUCACGAAUCAAUUUCUUUCUUUUUCCUCGCCUUGCUAACCUCCGUGCCCUGUAUCUACAAUGGAACCAUAUCCGAGCUAUCAACCAAGGCCUUCCAUGGAGCUGGUAUACCUUGCAAAAGCUUGAUAUCUCUGGCAAUGAGAUUCAAGUUCUAGAUCCUGUAGUAUUUCAAUGCCUUCCCAAUCUUCAGGUUCUCAACUUAGAGUCUAACAAACUGGCCAAUGUGUCUCAGGAGGUUGUUGCUGCCUGGAUCUCCCUAACAGCCAUUAGCCUUGCAGGCAACAUGUGGGAUUGUGGACCAGGCAUCUGUCCUCUUGUUGUCUGGCUCAAGAAUUUUAGAGGCACCAAGGACACUAGUAUAAUCUGCAGCAGUCCUAAGCACCUUCAAGGGGAGAAGGUCAUGGAGGCUUCAAAGAACAACAUUGACUGUGAUGAUUAUGAAAUUACUGCUCAAUCACCUUUGUAUCUGCAGACCUUUGAUCCAAAUUUUGAUCUUACCCCUGAACCAACUGAACUAACAAUGGCUCCUACAACACCGCCUCCACCCCUCCCUUCACCUGCCUCUGAGGCGUCAUUUCCACCUCCUCAUCCUCGACCGCCUCAACAUCCAACCUUCCCCAGCCGUGAAAACCCAGAUCCCAUGGACUCCAAUCAAUGGACACCCUCAUCGUCCGACAGCUUAGUAGUGACACCAGCUCCUGAGCAAGACAUUGUGUCAUUUCACAAAGUGGUGAUGGGUGGGGUGGCACUGUUCUUCUCAGUGUCCCUUGUCUUGUCGGUAAUAUAUGUCUCCUGGAAACGUUACCCCGGUGCCACCCGACUGCUGCAGGAGAGUUCAGUUGGCCGAAAGCGGAGGAAAAAGAGUCAGGAGCCAGAACAGAACCUGAGCUCCCAGCUCCAGGAAUAUUACAUGAGCUACAAUCCUGCAGCCACGCCAGAAGCCUUGGAGGUGCUGGGUAAUGGGACAGGUACCUGCACCUGCACCAUAUCUGGCUCCCGGGAAUGUGAGGUAUGACAUGUGAAAGCAGCCUAAAAUCAAAUCAGAUCAAAACAAAUGAACGACUCAGGAAAUAGAGAAUGAAUACACAUGUCCCAGACCGUUACCUGGAGCUUGGAUUGGAGACAUACCCACCAUACACUGAAGGGACAGUUUUGUUCCCCAAAAUAAUUCACCGGCGGAGGAUUUGUGCCUACCUGCAUUUCAUCAGUCGCAUCAAGCUUUGUUCUCAUGAUUCCACUCAUGCUUUCAGUGCUUCUUUAGUGGAUUGUGGUCAGCCGGACACAGCUAACGGACAUCUGAGAGACAGUGGGAACAGAUGCCUCAGAUACAUAUAAUAUUAAAACACAUUUGGAUGCCUCACUUAAUACUUUAAUGCACCAGGACACGUGUCAGGUUUCUCUUGGAAGCCUUCAGUGAAACAUACCAAUGAAAGUUAUCCAGCCUUUGAUGAAACACCUAGCGUCAUUUGACGUUUGUGUGGACCUAUACAUAAACUAUAAACUUUGUUAAUAUACCCUUGAAUUUAAAACUGUACUUGCCCUUUCCUUUGUUAAUGUAAAUCCUUGGUAAAAUUGUGUAUCAGAAUAACUAAAUAAAACCUUUAUCUUUGCUGCCUAAUACUGGAUUUGUUAUGCUUUGAGUUUAUGCAAACUUCUCUGUACAGUUUUAUUUGAAGAGAUCCUCGAGUUUACAUGCCCUUCAUAACAGUAAUAAACUUCCUUCUGUUAUUCUGAGUAAUUUAAACACGACCUGCGAUCUCUUGACUAUGCCAACACUGUCUCAAUGUUUGAAAUGUUUGAACGUACAUAUGUAGUCUCAUUUUAUAGAAAAGUGUGUAAGCAAAUGUCAAGAUCUGAAUAUAGAGAAUGCGUUUUAAGUCCUAGUUUGAAGGCGAAGUGUCUUUUUUUUCAAUGCUGAAAUCAUCUCACAUCCUUUCCAUUUGGUGCCGCUAGUGGCACAGAAAUAAUUCACGUUUGUUGUAUGUUUAAGUGUGUGUGUUAGUGUUAUUGGGUAUUGAUAUGUUCAGGUUCCACCUGCCCCUCAGUCUUCAAAUAUUGCAACUUGAAAGGGUAAUUUAUUUAUAUGCUCCCACAUUUUAAUUUAAUAAUUACAUUUUGUAACAAAACUGUAUGAAUUGGACGCCACUGAGUUCUGUUUUAUAAUGAGAAUGUCGUAAAAAUCAAUGGUGAGGAAUAUAGAUUUGUCAAAUGGA